rnacentral:rRNA from 1 species
UACGUAGGGUGCAAGCGUUAUCCGGAAUUAUUGGGCGUAAAGAGCUCGUAGGCGGUUUGUCGCGUCUGCUGUGAAAACCGGAGGCUCAACCUCCGGCCUGCAGUGGGUACGGGCAAACUAGAGUGCGGUAGGGGAGAUUGGAAUUCCUGGUGUAGCGGUGGAAUGCGCAGAUAUCAGGAGGAACACCGAUGGCGAAGGCAGAUCUCUGGGCCGUAACUGACGCUGAGGCACGAAGGCCAGGGGAGCAAACGGG